GAAGCAGGCCAGGCAGCCGCUGGCUGGCGCCGCAAGGUGCUGGCGGGAGGAAGGUCCGGACUCCACAGAGCAGGGUGACGGUUAACGGCCGUCCGCUGAAAUCCCUUCGGGGUAUAAGGCGAGGAAUAGGGCCACAGAGACGAGCGUAUUAAGUUACGGUGAAACGCGGUAACCUCCACCUGGAGCAAUUCCAAAUAGGCACGCGUUGAUGUUGCUCGCGGAGCGUGCGGGUAGGAAGCUUGAGCGCCGGAGUAAUUCGGCGCCUAGAGGAAUGGCUGUCAUAGCGGGCAACCGCCGUAACAGAAUCCGGCCUAUCGGCCUGCUUUACAU
rnacentral:RNase_P_RNA from 1 species